rnacentral:rRNA from 1 species
AUACAGAGGGUGCAAGCGUUAAUCGGAAUUACUGGGCGUAAAGCGCGCGUAGGCGGCUUGGUCAGUCGGAUGUGAAAGCCCCGGGCUUAACCUGGGAAUUGCAUUCGAUACUGCCAGGUUAGAAUGUAGUAGAGGGAAGUGGAAUUCCGGGUGUAGCGGUGAAAUGCGUAGAUAUCCGGAGGAACAUCAGUGGCGAAGGCGACUUCCUGGACUAACAUUGACGCUGAGGUGCGAAAGCGUGGGGAGCAAACAGGAUUAGAAACCCCUGUAGUCC